rnacentral:rRNA from 1 species
GACGAACGCUGGCGGCGUGCUUAACACAUGCAAGUCGAGCGGUAAGGCCCUUUCGGGGGUACACGAGCGGCGAACGGGUGAGUAACACGUGGGUGACCUGCCCUCAGCUCUGGGAUAAGCCUGGGAAACCGGGUCUAAUACUGGAUAUGACUCCAUGACGCAUGCUGUGGGGUGGAAAGCCUUGUGCGGCUGAGGAUGGGCCCGCGGCCUAUCAGCUUGUUGGU